UUAAAUUGAAGAGUUUGAUCAUGGCUCAGAUUGAACGCUGGCGGCAGGCCUAACACAUGCAAGUCGAACGGUAACAGGAAGCAGCUUGCUGCUUUGCUGACGAGUGGCGGACGGGUGAGUAAUGUCUGGGAAACUGCCUGAUGGAGGGGGAUAACUACUGGAAACGGUGGCUAAUACCGCAUAACGUCGCAAGACCAAAGAGGGGGACCUUCGGGCCUCUUGCCAUCAGAUGUGCCCAGAUGGGAUUAGCUAGUUGGUGAGGUAACGGCUCACCAAGGCGACGAUCCCUAGCUGGUCUGAGAGGAUGACCAGCCACACUGGAACUGAGACACGGUCCAGACUCCUACGGGAGGCAGCAGUGGGGAAUAUUGCACAAUGGGCGCAAGCCUGAUGCAGCCAUGCCGCGUGUAUGAAGAAGGCCUUCGGGUUGUAAAGUACUUUCAGCGGGGAGGAAGGUGUUGUGGUUAAUAACCGCAGCAAUUGACGUUACCCGCAGAAGAAGCACCGGCUAACUCCGUGCCAGCAGCCGCGGUAAUACGGAGGGUGCAAGCGUUAAUCGGAAUUACUGGGCGUAAAGCGCACGCAGGCGGUCUGUCAAGUCGGAUGUGAAAUCCCCGGGCUCAACCUGGGAACUGCAUUCGAAACUGGCAGGCUUGAGUCUUGUAGAGGGGGGUAGAAUUCCAGGUGUAGCGGUGAAAUGCGUAGAGAUCUGGAGGAAUACCGGUGGCGAAGGCGGCCCCCUGGACAAAGACUGACGCUCAGGUGCGAAAGCGUGGGGAGCAAACAGGAUUAGAUACCCUGGUAGUCCACGCCGUAAACGAUGUCUACUUGGAGGUUGUGCCCUUGAGGCGUGGCUUCCGGAGCUAACGCGUUAAGUAGACCGCCUGGGGAGUACGGCCGCAAGGUUAAAACUCAAAUGAAUUGACGGGGGCCCGCACAAGCGGUGGAGCAUGUGGUUUAAUUCGAUGCAACGCGAAGAACCUUACCUGGUCUUGACAUCCACAGAACUUUCCAGAGAUGGACUGGUGCCUUCGGGAACUGUGAGACAGGUGCUGCAUGGCUGUCGUCAGCUCGUGUUGUGAAAUGUUGGGUUAAGUCCCGCAACGAGCGCAACCCUUAUCCUUUGUUGCCAGCGGUUAGGCCGGGAACUCAAAGGAGACUGCCAGUGAUAAACUGGAGGAAGGUGGGGAUGACGUCAAGUCAUCAUGGCCCUUACGACCAGGGCUACACACGUGCUACAAUGGCGCAUACAAAGAGAAGCGACCUCGCGAGAGCAAGCGGACCUCAUAAAGUGCGUCGUAGUCCGGAUUGGAGUCUGCAACUCGACUCCAUGAAGUCGGAAUCGCUAGUAAUCGUGGAUCAGAAUGCCACGGUGAAUACGUUCCCGGGCCUUGUACACACCGCCCGUCACACCAUGGGAGUGGGUUGCAAAAGAAGUAGGUAGCUUAACCUUCGGGAGGGCGCUUACCACUUUGUGAUUCAUGACUGGGGUGAAGUCGUAACAAGGUAACCGUAGGGGAACCUGCGGUUGGAUCACCUCCUUACCUUAAAGAAGC
rnacentral:rRNA from 2 species